ACCUCUGUGUACAUUUCAGUGCCCUGGUUAUUCUACCAAAGAAAUCUAGGGCAAAUUUAUUUUAGUUAAACAUUUAUUUGGUGGCCACUGUUUCUACAAUGAUUGUUUUGCUGUUCUCACCAUUAACCAUUUCUUUCUCUGAAUGCAAGUACGUGUCAUAAUAUUCAUCUUCAAAGUGCAAGGAAAUACUGUUUGUUAAAGAUAAAUUACAUAAGUUACUAGAUUUCACAGUUCAAAACAUUGGGUUUUGCAGCCCAGUAUAAUUUAAGCCAUGAACUAUUCCCACUGCUCUGUAGUGAAUUAUGAAACAUAUCAAUCCCCAUUACUUCGAAGAGAAGAAAUAAUAAUUUGCAAGAGAUGUCGCUGUGAUACCAACUAAUUAACCCCAGGAUCGUAAUAUACUAUAGGUUCUCUUGCCAAAAAUGAUAUUUUGACAGUUAUAAGUAGAUAGAUCCCCUUAACUUCUUCCAUAUUGAUUUCUGGCUGUAAUAGAACUCCAGCAGCCAAAAUGGUCAACAUACCCAAGGGAUAGGAUGCCAUCCAGAGAGACCUAGACAGGCUCAAGAAGUGGGCCCAGGGGAACCUCAUGAGGUUCAACAAA